GUCCAAACCCCUGCCCUCUGGGCAGGCCGGUGGUGUCAGUCAUUUCAAGGAGAAAAAGCUUCCUGAGGCCUCCCCAGAAGCAGAUGCUGGAACCAUGUUUCCUGCACAACCCGCAGAACCACAUGGGUUUUCGCCAUUGCCUAGCCUGGUCUUGAAUGCCUGAGCUCAAGUCAUCCGCCUGCCCCUGCCUCUCAGUGCUGGGAUUACAGACACGAGCCACCACGCCUGGCCUCAAAGGAGUUAAAAUGGUUAAUGAAUUAAAACAAGAUUAAGUCUGUACGUUAUAUAAUGUAGAAGCUUCGGUGGAAAACUCCCCAGCCCUAUGUGGACGGCAUCACAUCUGAUUUAUCCUCGUGGUCUACACUGCUGGGGCUCAGCCUUCUCCUGAGAGAUGCCGUGAGACGUCUCUACGCCUGGAACAGCAGGAAGAACAGAAUGUUACUGGAUAGAGUUGUCCAAUUUCCUGGGGUGUUGAAGGAAGAACUGAACAAAAUGCACAAAGUAACAAAAGAAGGAAACAGAAGAACCGAGGGAGUAAGGAAGGCACAGAUCUACUGAAGAAGUAAAAGCACAAUUCACAAAGCGGGAUGGGCUUCUGCAGGCGGCUCAAGAACCUCUCCAAUUAGGUUUUUGUUGUUGUAGUUGUUUCGUUUUUUUGAGACAGGGUCUCGCUCUGCUGCCCAGGCUGCAGUGCAAUGGCACAAUCUCAGCUCACUGCAACCUCCACCUCCCGGGUUCAAGGGACUCUCGUGCCUCAGCCUCCUGAGUAGCUGGGAUUACAGGCACCUGCCACCACACCUGGCUUCUUUCUGUAUUUUUAGUAGAGAUGGGGU
rnacentral:lncRNA from 1 species